UAACGUUAGCGGUAGCUCAGACGUCUACCUCACUUCUGUGGUGUUGUAGUUGUGUUUGUUGUCUGGAAAAAGUCGACCACAGCUCUUUCAAAACAGCAACACGACAGCGAAUUAUCGUAUUUAACUGAAUGUAAAUGGGAAGAUUUAGAGGGCUGUGACACUUUCUGUAAGCAAGUGAGAGAGGUGAAAGCGGAUUUCAGCACCUUCUGCAAUUACCACCUUUUCCUGGAAGUGCUUAUAGCUCUAAAGGUUGGAGAGCUCUCAGAGAUGCAUUAAUUCUGGAGGGCUCUAAUGCAAACAUUUCCCUGUAACGGUAUCCAGCAUAUCUACAUGAAAGGUGUGGUGAAGAAAAAGAAGGAGGUUCAAUUACCUAAGUUGCAGUAAACUAUUGAUAUCCCAAUGCCACUCACAAUGCUGAAGGAGAGCUGUUUUGAACUGCGCUAUUGCUCUGCUAAUAAACUUUUAAACACUAGAUCUUGGUCUGCAGUUCUCUUUGCAAACCAGUGUAAUCAGUAUGCAUGUUUAAAGCUUAAGUAAAAUUCUUCUAAAGACGCAUUAAAAACUGAUUUUAUUGCAUUCACUUGGACAAUUUUGUUCAAGCCUCAUCAGUAGCAUUUCACAAAAGGACUGUUAAAAGUUCUCACUAGUAUGUAAUGCAUUUUAAGGAAAAAUGUUUGUUCUGGCUGUGAAUUGAGUGUGGGAUAUUAAACAACGGUAUGAGUGUAAAGUCACAAACUAUUAUAAAACCCACAUACAACUAAGUCAUGGUUUACACACUAAACAUCAAAAUAGUUUUAGGAAUACCAUAUAAAACAAUAGCCAUGUCAAAAAAUGUAGAUAUUACAGAGAAAUUAAGGUUUUCUGGUAAGCGUGGUCCAGUUAGCCUCUACUGGCAAAUGUUGAAACUACAUCACAUGGCUGGACAAAUCAUUUAAAGUAUUUUAUGUACUGUGACCAAAAAAAAAAAAAAAAGUAAACAGCAUAAAUUUAACCACAGACAUUUCACUAUAGAAUUGUAUUUACCAGUGGCUCAGGUGAUUUUAUGAAGUAAUUUCCUGGACCAAACAAGCAAUAUUAUUGUGAUGAAUGCUUUCUUCUUAUUAAAUGAAUUAUCCACUUGAGAUAAUCUCAUGAAUGUUUUCCAAAAUCAUAAAAAAAAUGUCCCAAAGAUAAUUUGUGCAAAAUCACAAAAAAAAACAAACAUUAAUUUGCAAUUAAAUUUCACUGCUGUUGUCAGAUAAAAUGAACACUAGACCUAGUAAAAAAAAAAAAAAACAUUUCUUUUGUGUGUGUGUUUGUGUUUGUGUGUGUGUGUGUGUGUGUGUGUGUGUGCAUAUGUAUGCAUAUUGAUUUGUAUAGCUCCUUUUACAAUAAUUAUUGUUUCAAAGCAGUUAGUUACAAGUUAGUUACAAUCAAAUAUAAGUUAUUAUAUACACGGGUAACCUUAAAUUUUGUUGCAUAUAGGUGAUGUCUAUGUGUGCAUGUUUAAUGAAGUGUGUUUGUGUCUUAAGUGUAUGUGUUGUACUAGAAGUCCUCAAUGGUUGGGAUCAUCUCUUCAUCUCUUUUAGAAGC
ensembl:processed_transcript